AAAAAAUAAAUUUAUUUAUUUUAGCAUCGACUAGAGUUUCAAAAAAAACAACUUAAAGUAAAAUAGUAAAAAAGGAAUUUCGUACUAAAAUGUCUAGAUACUUAGUUUUACACGGAGCACUCUCGUUCAACGAUAGCUAUAUUUACGGACAUGAUGACCAUGUUGGUUCGCUUUUGAAACAAACUUUCAAGAAAUCUCCUGGAAUUUUCCGGAACAAGCAUUGUUUGGGCCUAAAAGAGCACCCAGUAAUACUUUUGAAUUAUUUGAGUUCUUUGAAUUUCCGUAUUGUGAGUCAGUCCAGCCCAGGCGACCGAGCUGACCAAGUAAUUUGGACAUUGACAAGAGAAUAAUCACAA